AUAUUGGACAAUGGGGGCAACCCUGAUCCAGCCAUGCCGUGUGUGUGAAGAAGGUCUUCGGAUUGUAAAGCACUUUAAGUUGGGAGGAAGGGCUUUAGGUUAAUACCCUGAAGAUUUGACGUUAACAACAGAAUAAUCACCUGCUAACACUGUGCCGGCACACUCGGUAAUACAGAGGGUGCAAGAGUUAAUCGGCAUUACUGGGCGUAAAGCGCGCGUAGGUGGUUCAGUAAGAUGGGUGUGAAAUCCCCGUGCUUAACCUGGGAACUGCUUUCAUAACUGCUGAGCUAGAGUAUGGUAGAGGGUAGUGGAAUUUCCUGUGUAGCCGUGAAAUGCGUAGAUAUAGGAAGGAACACCAGUGGCGAAGGCGACUACCUGGACUGAUACUGACACUGAGGUGCGAAAGCGUGGGGAGCAAAC
rnacentral:rRNA from 1 species